ACCAAGGCGACGAUCAGUAGCCGACCUGAGAGGGUGAUCGGCCACAUUGGAACUGAGACACGGUCCAAACUCCUACGGGAGGCAGCAGUGGGGAAUAUUGCACAAUGGGCGAAAGCCUGAUGCAGCAACGCCGCGUGAGUGAUGAAGGCCUUCGGGUCGUAAAACUCUGUCCUCAAGGAAGAUAAUGACGGUACUUGAGGAGGAAGCCCCGGCUAACUACGUGCCAGCAGCCGCGGUAAUACGUAGGGGGCUAGCGUUAUCCGGAUUUACUGGGCGUAAAGGGUGCGUAGGCGGUCUUUCAAGUCAGGAGUGAAAGGCUACGGCUCAACCGUAGUAAGCUCUUGAAACUGGGAGACUUGAGUGCAGGAGAGGAGAGUGGAAUUCCUAGUGUAGCGGUGAAAUGCGUAGAUAUUAGGAGGAACACCAGUUGCGAAGGCGGCUCUCUGGACUGUAACUGACGCUGAGGCACGAAAGCGUGGGGAGCAA
rnacentral:rRNA from 1 species